GGUCCCGUGGCCUAAUUUGGUUAAGGCGUCUCCCUGUCACGGAGAAGAUUACGGGUUCAAGUCCCGUCGGGACCG
rnacentral:tRNA from 1 species